ACGUCAGUGGUGCAACAGCAGCACACCCGCCCCGCGGCGGGAGGUCCUGGUGCAAGUCCAGGCUGACGUCCCA
rnacentral:tRNA from 2 species